CCGUCGCCAUCGUCCUCCUCUGAGGGGCGGUCUGGGGGAAGGGGAGCGGGUCUGCGAACUCCGUUCUUCCAGCGGGAGCGGGUGUGGGGCCGAGAAGGCAGCCGGGCCCCGUCCUGUUUCCCAUGAGUGCGGCUAGUCCCUGCUCCCGCAGCUGUCCGUGCUUUCCUCUCCGUGUUUUCCCCAGAGUCAGGGUAAGAAGGGGUAGCGUCGCUCAAUUUUAUUUUACUUGUGGUAUUUUACUUUGUUUUACUUUUACUCUUGCCGGCAGGGUUCAGGGGAAUUCCUCAUUUUAGACGCCGGGAGGCUGUGAAACGAGGUCUGUGGCUUUUCAGGAUGCGUGGAAGCGUGGGGGGAAGGUGAGCAGGAGCUCUGAGAAGAAAAGGUGUCCAUCCGCAGAGGUCACCCCUUCACGAAGACCUCCACACAGGGAGGGGGAGACACCAAUUUUCCAUAAGAUGCUCAAAACAUCCUCCACGCUGAAGCUGUCUUGAAGCUCACCCUGUUUGUGAAACCUCCAGAAGCAGCUUGCAGCACAAGCCCUCGCCCCUCCGUGUGCAAAUGGGGCUGGAAAUGGGGUUAAAUGGGUCAGGGAGACAUGUGUUAUGCACACUGAAAAAGUGCUUCUGGUUUGAACACGGUUCUUCUUAUAAACAUUAUUUUUGCGGGGGUAACUUGUUUUCUUCCUUCUCUAGCUCCCACAACAGGAAAUAAACACUCAAGCAGAAGAGUAGUUCAUAUCAGCUGUAUCAACACUAAGAGAUUUGAGGUGUACAGGUACUCAGUUGGAGUACACAUACUAAGAGGCUAAGAUAAGCCCGUGCAGAUAUAGUUGAAAUGGGAAGAGGGGGAAUGGAGGAGAAUGGAAAAGACAAAGGAGAUAGGUACAAAAUAUAAAAGAGAGUAUAAGAAAACAAAAAGGAGACCACUGAUAAGGCAGAGGAACAUUCAUUGGUUAGAAGGUAUACGGAGAUAUCUAUAUAAAGCUUUGAAUCAUGCCCAAUGGAUGCUCAUGUGAGAUUGCCCCCAGGAAAUCACAUGGUCCUUAAGCAGUCCUUCCUACUAAUGUAUAUAGUACUCAAUAAAAAUACAUUUGCAAGAGGUUCCAGGACUGGAGAAACCACAAAAUCCACAAGCACAUUGAGUGGUCAGUGUUUGCAUGGGAUUUUCCAGUUAUUUAAAGAAAACACUAAAAAGAAAAAAGGAUUUUCAAACUUCAGUAGUUAAAAGAAAUUACAUAUACUAGAGGAAAUAGCAAGGAAAAAGCAUCAUAAUAAACAUUUCUAAAAUGCAUAAAGAAACUAUGCUAUUCUCUUUUUUUAAAGCAAAAAUGGGGAAUGCUUCAUGAAGUUGAAAGGCUGUAUUUUUUUUUUUAAUUAAAAGGAGAAGAAUUUCAUGUUGCACAAUUAGCACAUGAAAAUUAUUCCCAGGCAUUAUCACUUGGCCCAAGAUCUUUGCAAAACUUGAAAAGCCAUUGGCCACAUAAAUUAAUAACGUGAGCAUCUGUCAUUGUCUCACUUACUGAUUUAAAAGUAAGGUUAAAAAUUGUAUACAAGUACUUAAGGCAAGUGACUGAAAGUAUUGAAGAACUUUCAGUAGGCAAAUUAUGAUAUAAUUUUCCUUUUGGUACUCUUGCAUCUUUUUCUCAGUCACCUGCAAGUGAUUAGGUCAUUUUAACAGCAGCAGUAGUAGUCUGACACGUAACAGCAAUACUACACUUGUGUGUUCCUGACCCUGAACAUCUGUGCUUGGUAACUGGAAAGUAUUUGAUUAAAUUUUGAAACUGUACUCUCCACCACCUGUCUUUAAGCCUCUAAGGGCCCAUUUAUAUGUUAAAACAGUGUCUUAAAGGUACAAAGAAUGACAAGAAUGACCCUGCAGUUAUAUAGCACAGAUAAGAGCAAAAACACUUUCAGGCAUUUUACAGGAAGUUUGUGAUUUUGAUUCAAAGUUUCUACUUUCCACUCUAAACUCCAAUCACCGAUUGCAUAAUUAGUGCUCUUAGUUACUAAGUCAGUUGGUAUUUAAAAACAAACAGAUCUGUAAAUCACAUACCAUUUUUCCCUGUGUUGAAAUGCUAUUGCAGUUGUUAGACUGUCUCCUUGUGUUUCUCUGAGUUUAAAAGAGGUGCGCCUGGUAAGGAGCAACAUCCAGAAGAAUAGUUUAUUCCCCAAGGAACCAUAACCAGCUAUUCCUGCAAGUAGAAGUGAUCCACUGAGUAUCAACGAACUUCAGGCACUUAGAUAUUUCACUUUGAUUCAGUAGUCUUUUGCAGAACAAAUUACAAGGUAUACUUUCGUAUGCCAAGUAGUGUGGUAAUAAGGAAUGUUUUGUGUAGCUGGCCUCUCUUUGUACCUCCUGAUCUAAAAUGCUUUACCUGACCUCCCAUAUUUAUGGCCCUUUUCUCCUCUUUGUUUCCCUUGGAUUAAACAGUACCCCUAUUGUCAACCCACAGCACCUGCCACAUAGGCCCCCACAGCUUUUCAUGCUAGCUAAGUUAAUCAAAAGGCUGGGAUUAUUCACUCACAGGCUUUUAAAUCUCAUUAAAAAUCAAGGGAGAAACAGCAGAAAGCACUGUUGUGAGCAAUACCACAAGUAUCAAUCAUUUGUAUUAUUUGCAUAGGAUGUUAUUUCAGGCUGUCCAGUCCAAAAGGAAAUCUCUUUCAUCCAAGCUAUGUCUAAGACACAUUUGCUGUACAGAUGUUUCCUAGGACAGCCUGGAAUGAAUGAAUAAAUUUCAGAAAAUGUUUUAGAUGGAGCAAGUAAAUGACAUUUGGGCAAAAGAAACCUGUCAUGUAGUGGCAAAGGCUGCAUGUUCUACUGACUAUGAACUAUGGGCCUCUCUUCAAGCCUUUGCCAUUUUUCACUUAGAAGUCUGUUUUUGGCUGGUUGAUGACUGUUCUAAUGCCUGUCAACUAUGCAUCUUCCAUUUUUUUUAAACUCUAGAAAUUUAGAGCCAUGCAGCAUUGCCUUCAAGUGUUAGGCAUCCAGCCAUGUAUGGUUUAACUAAGCUGAGGGGUGCACUGUCAUGACUAUUGUGAGCAGUUUUGCUUCUUUCAUGCAGUCCAGUGCACACAGAGAGAGUAAGGAUGGUCUGCAGAUGAUGCUGAAUUUUAUAUGAGGUAUUUUUGGAAAGUGCAAAAAUUCUCUGUGGGAUUGUUCAUACCUUUUGGCUUAAGUAUUUACAAAAACAUGUUUUAUGCUCUGGAUGUACAGUAACACAUAGUAAAUCAUAAUAAAAAUUGUAAAAAUCUUUACUAAAGCAACCUGCAAACCUCUGCAACAGACUUCACCCAUGGACAGAUAAUGAGUGAACAAACACCACAUGACAGAUGUUAGUCAUGUUGCUUAAUGAAUAACUGGUGAUGAGUACAAUACCUGUGUGGAAUGGCUGUAGUAUGUUCAAUGAAAAAUAUGCAUUUGGAUCAUCUGUUUUUCACUGAGGUACCUGCAGUGCUCAAGAGAAAUGUCUUCAUCAGGAAGAAGCCUACGUAUUUCAACAGUUUUUCUGCAUCUGUUUCCUUGACUGCCUUGUUCCUCAGCCAUCCAUACCAGUCAUUGGAUGAUGAAACAUUUUUCCUUCAAAAUAGUUUAAAAAUAAAUACUCUGGCCUUCUCUU